UACGAAGGGGGGCUAGCGUUGCUCGGAAUGACUGGGCGUGAAGGGCGCGUAGGCGGAUUAUUCAGUCAGGCGUGAAAUUCCUGGGCUCAACCUGGGGACUGCGUUUGAGACGGGUAGUCUUGAGUUCGGAAGAGGGUCGUGGAAUUCCCAGUGUAGAGGUGAAAUUCGUAGAUAUUGGGAAGAACACCGGUGGCGAAGGCGGCGACCUGGUCCGAUACUGACGCUGAGGCGCGAAAACGUGGGGGAGCAAACAGGAUUAGAUACCCUGGUAGUCCACGCUGUAAACGAUGUGUGCUGGAUGUUGGGUGACCUAGUCACUCAGUGUCGUAGCUAACGCGAUAAGCACACCGCCUGGGGAGUACGGCCGCAAGGUUGAAACUC
rnacentral:rRNA from 1 species